CUGGUUUAUUUUUGUACAGGAUGCCAGUGGCUGCUCUCAGGGGGCGGGGCUUAGAAGUAGUUGACCACCCUGCGGAGGGAUUGGACGUUGGCGUUCUGCGCCUCCCACUCGUUGUGGCUGUUGUAGUCGCCGCGCUCCACGAUGUACAUCCGCCCACGGAAGUUGGGCUCCUCGUACAUCACCCAGCUGCAGACGGAGAAGACAACAGCAAUAUGAAGAAGUGAUGGAUGACUCUGCUUAUUGUAGCGGAGUCCAGCGUUGUUCACACACACAGACACACACACAGACACACACACAGACACACACACGGACACACACACAGUGCUGAACUCACGCUCCGUCUCCGUAGACCUUGAUGGAGUUGAUGCAGCUCUUGGCGAGGCCGCGGCUCUGCAGGAAGGGGCAGUCGUCACAGAUCUCCACGCACUGACCGGAGAAGUUACAGCCGUCGAACAGCUCGAUGCGAUAGUGCUCUCCGUGCUGAGGGGGGGGGGGGGGGACAGGAAGUGAGACAGGAAGUGAGACACGGCCUGAAUGCUCUCUGAUACCGGACAUUGCUCUGGUUAGAAAACCUUCUGACGCAAAGUCACUUGAAAUGUGUCCUAUUUUGUUUUCAGCAAAUCCUUUGAAACAUUUUAUUGUUUCUAUUUUAAUAUUGAAAUAGGUAUGUUUCCAUCCACCAUUUAAAAAUAUGAUUUUUGAUCAGUUGACUGAAGAGAAAAGAUUUAGUAACAAGCUAAAUCUUCUUCUCAUCCUCUGAGGAGCAGGAUUAUUUCCGGAGAAUCUGGGACCUGAUGGAUUACAUCAUAUUAAAGGCUCUCGUCCUCCCACCAGAAGGUCGGCUGCUCGAAUUCCAGCCAACGGCAAAGUGCCCUUGGGCAAGAUGCAGAACUCGUGCUGGCUUUGGGCUAAAUGACAUGACAUGACACAAAGACUGCAGGAGCCCUGUCAGAGGCGUGUACCAUGCCGAUGGGUUUGCAGGAUCCCAUGUGAUCGUUGUGGGAGUUCCACCUCUGGAACUCUGGGUACUCUCCGUGCUCCAGGAUGUACUGCUGGCCCUUAAAGUCGGGGUGGUCGAAGCAGAUCCAGGCGCCGCUCUCCACUCGGAUGGAGUUCACCCUGCAAACACAAGAGUCAGUCACCUGUUCAUGAAGCCGCGGUCCUGGAAGUUAUCACAGUCGCCUCUGACCUCCAGCUUCCUGCCGGUGAAGCACUUCCCCUCGUAGAAGGUGAUCUGAAAAACAAACAACGUUUUUCUGUUGUAAUUAUAACCACGCCCUCAGUGGUGAUGUCACAGUGAGCCGACACGCCCCUGAGUAACCUGACAUCAUGGCGACGACAUGUUGGACUGUGAGCGGCUGAUAGGUCACAGGUUGAAAAGAUGAUUUCAGAGCAGACAAAGAUUUAAGGAAUCUUUCAUCUUUUUCCUGAUUACAACACAGCUUCAUGUUUAAAAAAAUAUAAGAGAAAAAAUCACGAGCUGCAGAUUCAUCAAGACAUUUUAAAAUCAUCGUCUGUUUUAUCUGUAGAGAAGAUUUUAAA